rnacentral:rRNA from 1 species
AGCGAACGCUGGCGGCAGGCCUAACACAUGCAAGUCGAACGAAGUCUUCGGACUUAGUGGCGGACGGGUGAGUAACACGUGGGAACGUACCUUUUGGUUCGGAACAACUCAGGGAAACUUGAGCUAAUACCGGAUGAGCCCUUAGGGGGAAAGAUUUAUCGCCGAAAGAGCGGCCCGCGUUAGAUUAGCUAGUUGGUGAGGUAAAGGCUCACCAAGGCUACGAUCCAUAGCUGGUCUGAGAGGAUGAUCAGCCACACUGGGACUGAGACGCGGCCCAGACUCCUACGGGAGGCAGCAGUGGGGAAUCUUGCGCAAUGGGCGAAAGCCUGACGCAGCCAUGCCGCGUGAAUGAUGAAGGUCUUAGGAUUGUAAAAUUCUUUUACCAGGGACGAUAAUGACGGUACCUGGAGAAAAAGCCCCGGCUAACUUCGUGCCAGCCGCCGCCGUAACAC